UACGUAGGGGGCUAGCGUUGUCCGGAAUCAUUGGGCGUAAAGGGUGCGUAGGUGGUCUGAUAAGUUAUCAGUGGCAAAUCGAGGCUCAACCUCGUGGAAACUGGUAAUACUGUCAGGCUUGAGUGCAGGAGAGGUUAACGGAACUCUAUGUGGAGCGGUAAAAUGCACAGAUAUAUAGAAGAACAUCAAUAACGGCGAAGGCAGUUAACUAUUCUGUUACUGACACUGAGGCACGAAAGCGUGGGGAGCAAAACGG
rnacentral:rRNA from 1 species